AUGGGAAAUGGUACCAAGGCAAUUACAAAAUGUUAGCAGAACUAGGACAUUCCAGUUCCUGACAGGAAAAAUUUGCUUAUCAUCUAUCGAAUUGAGCGUUAUUUACUUCAGUAGAUAUUGUACAUAUAUUUGCUGGUUAGGCAUGGAUGAUUUAAAGACCUUACUGAAUUAUUGUAUUUGUAUGCAUUAAUGAAUUGUAAAUAAAUUUAUUCUUGUUAUUCUGUCUGUUUAAGAUGGAAGCCUGAGGGCCAGGAAGGUGAUAGUAUGUAGGGACAAUAAAAAGCUCAGAGUCAUGAUGCGUCAUCUAUCCUGCCAAAAGACGGCAAUUACCAAUAUUUACCUUGGUGGACAGGCCACCUUUACUUAACCUGGAAAAGAAACAUGUAUAAAUUUAUGUAUGUUUGAUAAAUAGUCAAAUGUCUCGUCAUCUAAUUAGUGACGUACAUGAAUGGAUGAACGAGAUUCCCACUGUCCCUACCUUCUAUCCAGCUCAACCACAGCCAAGGGAAUGGGCUUAGUGGAAUCAGCGGGGAAGGAAGACCCUGUUGAGCUUGACUCUAGUCUGGCACUACGAAGAGACAUGAGAGGUGUAGAGUAAGUGGGACCCGCCGGCCGGCACCCCAGCCGUCAGGGAAAUAGCACUACUCUCAUUUCUUCGCCUACCCAGUGGGGCAGGAGGGCGAGCCCCGAGGGAGGCUCUUGCUUCUGGCGCCAAGUGCCCAGUGCGCACCAGGCGCGACCCGCUCUGGGGACUGCAGCAGGAGGGGAGUUCGACGGGGGCCGUACACCUGUCACAACGGAACCCGGGUGUCCUAGGGCGAGCUCAGGGAGCAUGGGAAACUCCCGUAGAGCAAAAGGGCAAACGCUCGCUUAAUCUUGAUUUUUCAGUAUAAAUACAGACCGUGAACGCAGGGCCUCACAAUUCUUCUGGGUUUUUGGGUUUUAAGCAGGAGGUGUCCAAAGUUACAUGUUGGUGUCCUGCACCUGAACCUCCAUCCAGCUCAGUACGGACAACUGAAACAUUCUUGGGUAGGUUAUCCUUCCUUGUUUUGCUGGAAGUCAUCUUCCUAUCUUUUAAUGCUGUUCCUUCUGCUUUAUGUGUUGUGUCUCGCCCAGUUUUGAGCAGCUCUUUCAGAAACACCGGAGGUGCAGUCUCUGUGCCAGGCCCCUGGGCCAUUCCCUA
rfam:Podiceps cristatus contig74182, whole genome shotgun sequence.